rnacentral:tRNA from 1 species
GGCUUUAUAGUAUAAAAAUAACAUUGGGUUGCAAAUUCAAAGAUGUGAGAAACACUAAGGCUU